rnacentral:rRNA from 1 species
CCUACGGGUGAGCAGCAGUGGGGAAUAUUGGACAAUGGGCGAAAGCCUGAUCCAGCCAUGCCGCGUGUGUGAAGAAGGCCUUCGGGUUGUAAAGCACUUUCAGUGGGGAAGAAAGCCUUGGGGCUAAUACCCUCGAGGAAGGACAUCACCCACAGAAGAAGCACCGGCUAACUCCGUGCCAGCAGCCGCGGUAAUACGGAGGGUGCGAGCGUUAAUCGGAAUUACUGGGCGUAAAGCGCGCGUAGGCGGUCUGAUAAGCCGGUUGUGAAAGCCCCGGGCUCAACCUGGGAACGGCAUCCGGAACUGUCAGGCUAGAGUGUAGGAGAGGAAGGUAGAAUUCCCGGUGUAGCGGUGAAAUGCGUAGAGAUCGGGAGGAAUACCAGUGGCGAAGGCGGCCUUCUGGACUGACACUGACGCUGAGGUGCGAAAGCGUGGGUAGCAAACAGGAUUAGAUACCCUAGUAGUC